rnacentral:rRNA from 1 species
AUUGAACGCUGGCGGCAGGCCUAACACAUGCAAGUCGAGCGAGCGGCGGACGGGUGAGUAAUGUCUGGGAAACUGCCUGAUGGAGGGGGAUAACUACUGGAAACGGUAGCUAAUACCGCAUACCAUCAGCUGUGAUCAGAUGGGAUUAGCUAGUGGGUGGGGUAACGGCUCACCUAGGCGACGAUCGCUAGCUGGUCUGCGAGGAUGACCAGCCACACGGGAACUGAGACACGGUCCAAGCUCCUACGGGAGGCAGCAGUGGGGAAAAUUGCACAAUGGGCGCAAGCCUGAUGCAGCCAUGCCGCGUGUGUGAAGAAGGCCUUCGGGUUGUAAAGCACUUUCAGCGGGGAAGCGGUACCCGCAGAAGAAGCACAGGCUAACUCCGUGCCAGCAGCCGCGGUAAUUC